UACAGAGGUCUCAAGCGUUGUUCGGAUUCAUUGGGCGUAAAGGGUGCGUAGGUGGCCAACUAAGUCAGACGUGAAAUCCCUCAGCUUAACUGGGGAACUGCGUCUGAUACUGGAUGGCUUGAGUUUGGGAGAGGGAUGCGGAAUUCCAGGUGUAGCGGUGAAAUGCGUAGAUAUCUGGAGGAACACCGGUGGCGAAGGCGGCAUCCUGGACCAACACUGACACUGAGGAGCGAAAGCCAGGGGAGCAAACGGG
rnacentral:rRNA from 1 species